GACGAACGCUGGCGGCGUGCUUAACACAUGCAAGUCGAACGGGAAGGCCCUGCUUUUGUGGGCUGCUCUAGGUGCGACCGGGUGAGUAACACUUGAGUACCCUGCCCUUGCCUUUGGGAUAUCUUCAUGAAACUUGGGCUAAUCCCGGAUAGGAUCUCCUGCUUCAUGGUGGGGGUUGGAAAGUUUCGGCGGUUGGGGAUGGACUCGCGGCUUAUCAGCUUGUUGCUUGGGUAGUGUCUUACCAAGGCUUUGACCGGUAGCCGGGCUGAGAGGGUAACAGGACACAUUGGGACUGAGCUGCGGCACAGACUACUCCGGGAGGCAGCAGAGGGGAAUAGUGCACUAGGGGCUGAAGGCUGAUGCAGCAAAGCCGUGUGGGGGAUGACGGCCUGCGGGUUGUAUACCGCUGUCGCCUGUGACGAAGCGUUAGUGACGGUAAUGGGUAAAGAAGCACCGGCUAACUACGUG
rnacentral:rRNA from 1 species